UUGUAGUCAUAUGCUUGUCUCAAAGAUUAAGCCAUGCAUGUCUAAGUAUAAGCAGCUAUACGGUGAAACUGCGAAUGGCUCAUUAAAUCAGUUAUCGUUCAUUUGAUAGUACCUUACUACUUGGAUAACCGUGGUAAUUCUAGAGCUAAUACAUGCUAAAAACCCCAACCUCGGAAGGGGUGUAUUUAUUAGAUAAAAAACCAACGCCCUUCGGGGCUCCUUGGUGAUUCAUAAUAACUAAACGAAUCGCAUGGCCUUGCGCCGGCGAUGGUUCAUUCAAAUUUCUGCCCUAUCAACUUUCGAUGGUAGGAUAGUGGCCUGCCAUGGUAUCAACAGGUAACGGGGAAUUAGGGUUCUAUUCCGGAGAGGGAGCCUGAGAAACGGCUACCACAUCCAAGGAAGGCAGCAGGCGCGCAAAUUACCCAAUCCCGACACGGGGAGGUAGUGACAAUAAAUACUGAUACAGGGCUCUUUUGGGUCUUGUAAUUGGAAUGAGUACAAUUUAAAUCCCUUAACGA
rnacentral:rRNA from 1 species